AUGGGGGGCGAGCAGAUGGAACUGUCGACCGCGACCCAUACGUGUUAUCUCGCCCAUGCAAACGAGAUAAUAACGGUCGCAGGCAGGAUACCAUCCAUAUACAUGUUUGCCCACAAAAUGGAAAUCGCUCGAGGUGAACAUCGUUGUCCCAAGCAUAUGAGCACAAUUACAUCUUUUUCCAAACACUGUCUACUCCCUUUCAAUACCAAAACCUCUUUACCUUCAAUAGGCCUUGGUGUUGAGAAUUAG